UAGCAGUGGCAUUGACACCUUUCAUCGUCGCCUUGGUGGUGGCAUUCAUACCUUUCAUAGUCGCCUUUGUGGUGGCAGCGGCCGCGUGGGCGGACGCCUUGGCCGUUGCUUUCGUCGCAGCUUUCGUAGUUUUUGCUGCCACUUUCGUUGCUGACUUGGCUGCGACAGCAGAAGUCUUGGCGGCCAUGGCAGAGGUUUUCGCGGCCACUUUUGUUGCCGUUGAGGUAAGCUUCAACGAUUUGAGCGCCGGAGCCACGACAGUUG